ACGGGAGGCAGCAGUGAGGAAUAUUGGUCAAUGGGCGCGAGCCUGAACCAGCCAAGUAGCGUGCAGGAAGACGGCCCUUUGGGUUGUAAACUGCUUUUAGUUGGGAAUAAAAAGGAGUACGUGUACUCCAUAUUGUAUGUACCAUCAGAAAAAGGACCGGCUAAUUCCGUGCCAGCAGCCGCGGUAAUACGGAAGGUCCAGGCGUUAUCCGGAUUUAUUGGGUUUAAAGGGAGCGUAGGCGGAUUUUUAAGUCAGUUGUGAAAGUUUGCCGCACAACCGUAAAAUUGCAGUUGAGACUGGAAGUCUUGAGUGCAGGCAGGGAUGCUGGAAUUCGUCGUGUAGCGGUGAAAUGCUUAGAUAUGACGAAGAACUCCGAUCGCAAAGGCAUGUGUCCGGAGUGCAACUGACGCUGAGGCUCGAAAGUGUGGGUAUCAAACAGGAUUAGAUACCCUGGUA
rnacentral:rRNA from 1 species